AGAAGCUUCAAGCAAAACCAAGCUGUCAACAGCGAAAGCAUUUCCGCUGAGGAGUGUGUUUUUUCUUUCCUUGUGCCGACGUCGUCCAUACGUGCUGCCGAGAAGCCGGGAAAAAUUCGCCAAAGUCGCGGGAACGAAAAUAGCGGCAAAACACCAUCCGUGUUCAGCACGGCGAAUCAUCGUUCACGUCGAUGAAAAAUUGCCACACCGCUGUUGCAGAACUGCGAAAAAGGCGAUAAAAAACGGCACUCGAGAAAAAGCAGCGGCCCGUAACGUUACCGUUGAGUAAAACGGAUUGUUUUGUUGGAUUACGGCAGAAUACGUAACCAAAUCCUCUUCUUCAACCACGAGGAAAACUCGUGGUGAGAAAACCACCGUCGAAGGAGGAGGACUGAAAAGGAAAAAGCAUCAAGAAAGCCCCUGAAUAAAGGGGCUUUUUUUUUCUUUCUUGUUUUUUCUUUCCUCUCUUUAUUCCUCUCCGGCGAUUUAUUUAGUGGCCCAAACUUCUUCGCUUAAUUGUCUUGGCACGCAACACAGGGUGGCCGGAAGGUGCGGCAAACAAGCCGGAGCGAAUACCGAGGAGCUUGAGCUCAAAGCAGCCGGAAGUGCCAAGGUCGUGGGCACGAGUUUGCUGAGGGAUCGGGACAAAGGAGCCCGAGGGCGCUGGGAUAAUACGAUCGGUGCUCAAACCGAUGAAAGCUGGGUGGAGGAGAACUGGCAGUUUCGAACACCGCGGGAAGAUCGAGACGACUGGAAAGAAUUGGAUCCAAGAGCCGAACCAGAUCCGGAUCCGCAAGCCGAGGAAGGAAUUAGACCGACGAGCCAGAUGAGCGGAACCAGAAUCGCUGCAGUGGGGCGAACCUCGCUCGGAAAAGCGAAUCAAGUUUGUCAUGCGCAUGUCGCAGUGUGCAUCUCCAGUUUCCGGGAGCAAACUCUCCCCUAUCAUCCCGACAUCGAAGCGUGGGAGUCAACCAGCUCUGCUCAGAGCCACCCACGCGCGUGUGCCAUUGUGUGGUCCAGUGAUGACCGCUUGUAACCAGGAAGAUGAGCGCUUUUGCUGCACGUUCGACGCCAUUCCGGAGAGGCCUGGAGGUCAAAUAUAAGUGCCAAUUACGACUUGUUUUCAAUUAUGCUAAUACUUAGUGGGAGGAAUUUCCUGCUCUCAUAAACUGAGCAAAGUGGCAAUGGCCAAAAUAAAAAGCAAAUUCAUUUAAUCUUAAA